ensembl:lncRNA
CUGAGAUCAAACCAAAUAGGGAAAACUGCAGGUUCCCCACUGGAUCUUCACAGAUAUGUUCAAGCUGAUAGUGAAGAAUGAAUCUGAGUAAACAAGUCCUUAGAUCCCAGACAGGCGAGCAAUGCCCCGCUGCAGCCGCUGGCAAUGGGUGGCCACUCACAAGAGGUGGGAUGGUUCCAUUCAUACAUCAAGGCUCGAUCCAAGCCCCGCUGGAGGUUUUUCAUCUCCCCCAAUGAAGUCCAGCUCAAGCACCUGGCCGACACGGAGCUCGGCUGACACGACAGGUGGAACCCUUCCAAAAAUACACGCCAUCAUCCCUUCGGCAAGCAGGAGGACGGGGUUCCCACGUUAGCAGCAGCAGCAGUUGGGAUUCCUAGAAAGACGCAGUGCCUUCGGGUGCCCAACCCAUCCCCGCGCCCUGCUGGGAUGCACGGCCAUUGCGGUGUGCAGGGAGAGUGAUCCCAAAACACAUCCAGCGCCACACCAACCUGCGAAUGGCGGUGGCACAUCUUCAAACCUCCCCGAAACCCAAGGCGGAAUUUCACCCUUUCCCACUUGUAUAGCUGCAAACAAACGCCGUGCUUGGCCUGAACGCGUCAGCGCGUGGGUUGUAGGGCCACACAGAGCCCCCGUUUCGUUGUGCUGCAGCAGCAGCCUGCUGCACCCCACAGCAUAUCUGCAUUUUCCUAUGGCAGGAAGGUGCAGCAGUGGGGCCACUGUAGCAAAAUGCCUCCACACCCUGCUCCAUCCACAGCCAAAUACGAAACACCAAUCCAAGAGUUUUCUUCAAGCUAUAAAAAUAAAGCAAAGUUGUUCCCAGGGAACAGAGAAAAAGUCAAUUCCACAGUCCCUGCACAGUUAUAAGCGCUCUCCAUAAGACUGAAUGCUUUUUUCUGCCUCGGAACAGCCCUCUCUGAUCCAGCAGAGCAAAGUUUGUUGAUAUUCGGGGUUGCAAACCCAUGUGUUUACUCAGGCUUUUGUCUGUCAGCAGAGUUUGAAGAGGUCGCUUUGAGAGAUCAAUAUUUUUUCCUGGGGGUUUCUUCAGAGCUACCACAAUUUGUUAUUGCGUCUGUUUAGAGGCUUUAAUUUGUGGUUUUCAAGAUUGCAUAACUGAGCAGAGAGGUGGUGAGAGGCCCACAUGAAGAGUUCAAAAUAAAUUUGACAAUAUAGUAAAUAUCUGCUCAGUAAUUUUCCCUGGUCUGAAUGCCACAGAAUGCCAACAGAGCCAUUAGUCAGGCUGGGUAUGAAGGUGCCUUUAUGGGAUCAGGGCACAUGUUUCCAUCCAGAUGGUACAGAACUGGAUUCACCUCACACGUCACUGACACCAACAGAGGACGUCCCUCUGGGGGCUCCCACCCGGGUGCCCAUUUAUAGGUUGCUCUAAAAGGCGUUGCUUUGAACCAGAUAUGGAAAAAUUAAAAUGAGACUUUAAUUUUGCCCUUUGCUCAGAGUUCUCAUAGUAAUUUACAUCAAAAUGAACCGAACCGCUCGCCUCCCAUAAGGCGGCCCAGGGGUUGAUUGUAUAUCAGUCCUGCAGACAUCAGCUGGGAGGUGUGGGGAUGCACACGGGGAUGCAUUCACUGCAGAUGGGAACUGUGGCCCCACAGGUCAUUGGGGGGCUGCAGGUGGAAGCCCAGCACUGACACCAUACAGAAAUGGGGUUCUCAGCACGGACGCUGCACGGCAUCCUCCAGCCAAGCAUCCCCGGCUCCGGGAGGAAGCACCUGUAAGCGUGGUGUCAGGGCACUGCGUGAAUGGGUGACGAGUUGGGGUUGGACUUGAUGAUCUUAGCAGUAUUUUCCAACCUUAAUGAUUCUACGAUUCUACGACUGCAG